rnacentral:sRNA from 1 species
UGUAAGCUUGAGUGGACUGGGCAAGGAACGCGGCAAUUUCAUCCGUGGUCCGUGGCAUGUUCCAGUCUAGUGCUUCGUUAAAUAUCUCUCUUCAAAGGUCGAUGGAAUUACCCACCAGAAAUUGCCGUCCUCGAUUCUUCGCUGUCCACCCACACAUUCUUAGCCUUCCUGAACUCAUCCACUGCUUCCCUCUCCCAUUGCACCCAAGUCCUAACCGAAUCAAGCCUAUCAACUUCUUCUUCCAUCUCGACAGUUUCAACGUCCACAAUAGUAAGUUCGUUUUGAGACGCAGCGACAAAAGUUCGCGCAGGACUAGUAGAUAAUUUGUUAGGACGGAGUGUAGCCAAGGAGGGCAUCUCAUGAAUGGUCGCAUCAAUGUUAACCUGAGCAGAAGAAGUCUGCCGGCGAUGCCCCCGAGCACGAGCACCAAGGGUGAAGGAAGCAGCAUUCGUGUCGAGUGACAGUCUACUGGAGGUCUCGGACGCCGAAGGAGAAGUAAGUCCCGGAGUAUCGAUGGGUACAUCGGAGAAAACAAGCUCUACAGGGCGUCGGCGUCCGGGCUUGGGAGGGCGGGUCAUGGAGGAUCCAAGCAUCUGGCGCGCACCAACUGCCUGAGCUUUCCUUUUACCAAGUGGGGCUAAUAACAUAACAUUUACACCUUUCAAGCUCGCGUAUCCUCUUAGUAACAUUCCUGGCCGUCGCGUCUGCAAAAGUAUCAUCAGCGACUGAAUCGCUCGUGUCGGUGGAGACGGCUGAUAUGGGGCGCAAGCCACGAAGGAAGAAUUUCUCAUUGGACGACUGCUGCUCAGGUCUGAAGAAGGAAUCGGCGCCGAUCGAAAUUCGAGACGAUUCAUCGGCUGAAGACAUGAAAGACUCCCGCACUGCGGAAGCAUCGUUGAAUAACGAGUCGUCAACCAACCUAGCUCGACUAGCAUCAAGCAGAGAAUCAUGAGUGACCUUGCCACAAGUCGCAUCGAAUAGACUAUCCCACGAAGCUGAACGCUGGUAUGACACAGAAGCUUUGGCGGCGUCCUCAGGGGGCGAUCCCGUGAUAGACGUGAGCUGCACCCCACCAUCAAGCUGGAACAUCCUAUCGCCAAGGCCGGGUCGGAGGAUUUGGGACACCGAGGUGCCUGAAGAGGUGCUGCUGGCAGCGGAGGUGUUGCGGCGAUGAGCAGCCCAGUCUGGGCGACCGAAAGAGCUCUGACUGGAACGGUUUCGGCGAUGCUUGCUGAUGUAUGACGACCGUCGGUUGUUGUGCAUACUGACAGGAGGGCCAUUACCUGUCAUUGAAUUGUAAUCCGAACCGCCAACAGAGUCCACAGACUGGAUGGACGAGUUGCGUCGGUGGUGACCUUUCCGAGUAACAGGUCGAUUAGAGAGCUGAGCGCCAAAAGUAAAGCUAGCUAGGGAUUCGCGAGACGGAGACUGUCUUGGAGAGCUCUCAUUGAUAGCUUUUUCAAUUGUCUCUAUGACAGAUGGCUGGCGAGAGUGCGACUGAGCAGAAGGCACCAGGUAAUCAAAGUAGUUGGUGUACUCCCGCUCUGCGCCAGUGCCAAUGACUGAACCAAUGCUAGACAUAGUAGCAACGCUGGACUCUGCUCGUUUAUGGCCGCGAGGGUCCAAGUUGACAAGUGGUGGUGGAAGAGUCGGAAGGGGAGUCAGUUCCACAGAAGCUAUAGACUCGGAAGCUCCGAAAGAAGCAUGGCUAGGCUGUUGCUUCAUGGACAUGUGUUGCUGGAAGGCGACUUGACCCUUGAAAGGUUCGCGGCGUACAGGACUGGUCUUGGCAAUGCCCAUGACAUGGUGAAUCUCCGCAACAUGCUCAAAAGCCUCUUCAUCACCAAGCUCCUCGUCUUCAUCAUCCGAAUCAUCUGAGCCAUGGACAGCAGCGAUGUGUUGUGUUGUGCUAUCAGAAGGCUUUUGAAUGUGGAAGGAUGGAACCUGGUCAACAGGAGAGAUUGCUGUAGUUUUUGUGACCGCUGCAGGCACCGAGGAAAGGUCAUCGCCGAUGAACAUCUGAACACUUCCCACCUUCCUCAAAGCCUCUACAAAAGAAGCCCUCUGGGUGCCCUGAUCCAAAGCCUGGUAUUCGCUAGUAAAGUCAAACGAGUUGCGAUGUUCGUUGAAAUCCGCGGCCAGCGUAUCGAUGAAUAUUGAAUCUUGAGUGUUGCACUUAAUGGGACAGGAGGCAAAGAGAGCGCUGGAGGCGGGGGACCAGGUCGCCUGGGAGAGAUGCGAUUUUGAGGAGGGGCAGCUGGGAGACCGAGGUGCAAGGUCUUGUUCGGAGAGUAUCCAGCUUCAGCAGCUUCAGUGUUGACGACAACAGCCUUCAGGUCAAAAGGCACAUCCGAUGCUUCGUUGACCUUAGGUGCGGGCUCAAUGUUCUGACAAAGGAUAUGGAAAGGCGUACCAUGGCAGAUUCGGCAUGCUUGGAAGACAUGGGAGAAGGAGGGGCAAAGAUGUUGCGCAUCCCUUUGCGGACCAUACUUUGUCUGGGCGGUGAGUCGAUCAUGGUCUCUGGACUCUCAGGAGUCCUCGUUUUGGCCUGCUUGUUGGCGGCAGCUUGAGACUGAUGCAAAGCAAGCUUGAGUGGACUGACAUUGGCAGAACGUGGUCUAAGAGAGUUGGCACUGGAUUUGUUAACGAGCAUAGCAGAUCGGACCUUGCGAAUAGGAGUAGGGCUGCCAUUGAAGCCUUGUCUGAGAGAAUUGCUGGAAGACACCAAAUGCAAAGUAGGGCUAUUGCUUGAUGCGGGUGAGAAGUCAAAGACGUGAACCAAAUUGAGCAAUUUGUCAGUGGCAGACGCAACACGCCGGAGACCCGCUACACUGUCAGCGACGUCUAAAACAUGUAUAAUUUACCUUUCCUGA